UACGGAGGGAGCUAGCGUUGUUCGGAAUUACUGGGCGUAAAGCGCACGUAGGCGGCUUUGCAAGUUAGAGGUGAAAGCCCGGGGCUCAACUCCGGAAUUGCCUUUAAAACUGCAUCGCUAGAGUUGUGGAGAGGUAAGUGGAGUUCCGAGUGUAGAGGUGAAAUUCGUAGAUAUUCGGAAGAACACCAGUGGCGAAGGCGACUUACUGGACACAUACUGACGCUGAGGUGCGAAAGCGUGGGGAGCAAACAGG
rnacentral:rRNA from 1 species